CCUACGGGAGGCAGCAGUGAGGAAUAUUUGUCAAUGGACGAGAGUCUGAACCAGCCAAGUAGCGUGAAGGAUGACUGCCCUAUGGGUUGUAGACUUCUUUUAUAUGGGAAUAAAACAGGGUAUGCAUACCCUCUUGUAUGUACCAUAUGACUAAGGAUCGGCUAACUCCGUGCCAGCAGCCGCGGUAAUACGGAGGAUCCGAGCGUUAUCAGGAUUUAUUGGGGUUAAAAGGUGCGCAGGCGGAAUGUCAAGUCAGCGGUAAAAUUUCGGGGCUCAACCCCGUCGUGCCGUUGAAACUGGCGUUCUUGAGUGAGCGAGAAGUAUGCGGAAUGCGUGGUGGAGCGGUGAAAUGCAUAGAUAUCACGCAGAACUCCGAUUGCGAAGGCAGCAUACCGGCGCUCAACUGACGCUCAUGCACGAAAGCGUGGGUAUCGAACAGGAUUAGAUACCCUAGUAGUC
rnacentral:rRNA from 1 species